AAACAGUCAGAACAGACGAGUCAACGGGGAUGUACAAAAGGAACAAGGAACAAAAUGCAAGCAUGAAGUCUCCCCAGGGCCGAGGGUCUGCCUGUGGACUAGAGUGCACCUGACAGAUAAAGCAUUUUGACGAUGACACAUUGCGGUGGGACAACAUGAAAAUAAACGAGAGAAUUUUAAAGCACA